UACGUAGGGUGCAAGCGUUAAUCGGAAUUACUGGGCGUAAAGCGUGCGCAGGCGGUGAUGUAAGACAGGUGUGAAAUCCCCGGGCUUAACCUGGGAACUGCAUUUGUGACUGCAUCGCUGGAGUGCGGCAGAGGGGGAUGGAAUUCCGCGUGUAGCAGUGAAAUGCGUAGAUAUCGGGAGGAACACCAGUGGCGAAGGCGGUUGCCUGGAGCUUUGCUGACGCUGAUGCGCGAAAGCGUGGGGAGCGAUCCGG
rnacentral:rRNA from 1 species